rnacentral:tRNA from 1 species
UCCCUAGUUGCUUAGACGGUAAAGCGUCUGUCUACAACGCAGGAGAUCCAGGUUCAAUCCCUGGGUUGGGAA